UACGGGGGGGGGCAAGCGUUGUUCGGAAUUACUGGGCGUAAAGGGUUUGUAGGUGGCCCGCUAAGUCACACGUGAAAUCCCUCAGCUUAACUGGGGAACUGCGUGUGAGACUGGCAGGCUCGAGGCAGAGAGGAGACGCGGAAUUCCAGGUGUAGCGGUGAAAUGCGUAGAUAUCUGGAGGAACACCGGUGGCGAAGGCGGCGUUCUGGACUGUCU
rnacentral:rRNA from 1 species